AUACUUACCUGGCAGAAGAUAUACCACGAUCACGAAGGUGGCUUUCCGAGGGUGAGCAUGUGCGGACCCUUGUGACUUCCCCAUGUGCGGACCCCUGCGAUUUCCCCAAACGUGGGAAACUCUGCUGUGCAUUUGUGGUAGUGGGGGGCUGCAUUUUCACUCUUCAC